rnacentral:rRNA from 1 species
CCUACGGGUGGCAGCAGUGAGGAAUAUUGGUCAAUGGACGGGAGACUGAACCAGCCAAGCCGCGUGAGGGAGGAAUGCACUGAGUAUUGUAAACUUCUUUUGUCUGGGAAUAAAGCGUUCGACGUGUGCCCUUUUGUGUGUACCUUAUGAAUAAGCAUCGGCUAACUCCGUGCCAGCAGCCGCGGUAAUACGGAGGAUGCGAGCGUUAACCGGAAUUACUGGGCGUAAAGCGCUCGGAGGCGGUCUGUCAAGUCAAGGGUUAAAUCCCCGCGCUCAACCUCGGCACUGCCUUUGAAACUGGCAGACUGGAGUGGGUGAGAGGUAAGCGGAAUGCGAGGUGUAGCAGUGAAAUGCGUAGAUAUCGGGAGGAACACCAGUGGCGAAGGCGACAAGCCGGCACAAAACUGACGCUGAGGAACGAAAGCGUGGGUAUCGAACAGGAUUAGAUACCCCUGUAGUC